GAAGACAGAUACCCUGUCCGCGACGCCUGGUUCUGGCCUCAUAUACAUGUAAGUACCCGUUCGUUCAUUAAUAGAUAGCAUAUAAGGAAGUGUGUCGUCUGAAUUUGGAUCAUGCCAUGCACAAGACUAUUCAGAUUGUUUUCUUGAGGAAAGUGAGUAUUCAAGUUGGUUAGAUGAAAGUGUAUCAUCAUUUUUUCAUGAAAAAUAAUUUCAUAAUACCAUAUUGCAGUGACUUCCUAUGUCAUCAGCAAAUGCAGUGGAGAAGAAGCCGGUUCACCACAUGAUCAUUUAAUUUGUUAUUGUUUUUUAACUAUUCCCUGUUGCAUGUAUAAUCAGAAAAAAUAAAACUCCUCCUUUCGGCCCAUAAUAGGAGUCUGGAAGUGAU
rnacentral:lncRNA from 1 species